rnacentral:piRNA from 1 species
AAUAGCGUGGAUGUCGGGGGAA